rnacentral:tRNA from 1 species
GGAAUAUAGCUCAGUUGGUAGAGUGCUUGCUUUGCAUGUACAAGGAUCUGGGUUCAAUCCCCAGCACCA